rnacentral:rRNA from 1 species
UACGUAGGGGGCUAGCGUUGUCCGGAUUUAUUGGGCGUAAAGAGCGUGUAGGCGGCCUGGUAGGUCUGGGGUGAAAUCUCGCUGCUUAACAGCGAAACUGCCUUAGAUACUAUCAGUCUUGAAUCAGCGAGAGGUUCGUGGAAUUCCGAGUGUAGCAGUGAAAAUGUGUAGAUAUUCGGAAGAACACCAGUGGCGAAGGCAGCGAACUGGCGCUCGAUUGACGCUCAGGCACGAAAGCAUGGGGAUCAAACAGG